UACGUAGGGACCAAGCGUUGUUCGGAUUUACUGGGCGUAAAGGGCGUGUAGGCGGCCCCGCAAGUCACUUGUGAAAUCUCCGGGCUUAACUCGGAACUGCCAAGUGAAACUGCGAGGCUAGAGUGCAGAAGGGGCAAUCGGAAUUCUCGGUGUAGCGGUGAAAUGCGUAGAUAUCGAGAGGAACACCUGAGGUGAAGACGGGUUGCUGGGCCGACACUGACGCUGAUGCGCGAAAGCUAGGGGAGCGAAC
rnacentral:rRNA from 1 species